UACGAAGGGGGCUAGCGUUGUUCGGAAUUACUGGGCGUAAAGCGUAUGCAGGCGGAUCAUUAAGUCGGGGGUGAAAUCCCGAGGCUCAACCUCGGAACUGCCUUCGAUACUGAUGAUCUUGAGUCCGGGAGAGGUGAGUGGAACUGCGAGUGUAGAGGUGAAAUUCGUAGAUAUUCGCAAGAACACCAGUGGCGAAGGCGGCUCACUGGCCCGGUACUGACGCUGAGAUACGAAAGCGUGGGGAGCAAACAGG
rnacentral:rRNA from 1 species